rnacentral:piRNA from 2 species
UGAGCUGGGCCAUUUGAUCUCCUUUCACC